rnacentral:rRNA from 1 species
AUUGAACGCUGGCGGCAGGCCUAACACAUGCAAGUCGAACGAGUGGCGGACGGGUGAGUAAUGUCUGGGAAACUGCCCGAUGGUGGGGGAUAACUACUGGAAACGGUAGCUAAUACCGCAUACCAUCGGAUGUGCCCAGCUGUGAUUAGCUAGUAGGUGGGGUAACGGCUCACCUAGGCGACGAUCCCUAGCUGGUCUGCUAGGAUGACCAGCCACACUGGAAAUAAGACACGGUCCAGACCCCUACGGUAGGCAACAGUGUGGAUGAUUGCACAAGGGGCGCAGUCCUGAUGCAGCCAUGCCGCGUGUAUGAAGAAGGCCUGCGGGUGUUAAAGUACUUUCAGCGAGGAGUCGUUACUCGCAGAAGAAGCACCGGCUAACUCCGUGCCAGCAGCCGCGGUAAUAC